rnacentral:rRNA from 1 species
GACGAACGCUGGCGGCGUGCCUAAUACAUGCAAGUCGAGCGGAUCUUCAUUAGCUUGCUUUUGAAGAUCAGCGGCGGACGGGUGAGUAACACGUGGGCAACCUGCCUGUAAGACUGGGAUAACUUCGGGAAACCGGAGCUAAUACCGGAUAAUCCUUUUCCUCUCAUGAGGAAAAGCUGAAAGACGGUUUCGGCUGUCACUUACAGAUGGGCCCGCGGCGCAUUAGCUAGUUGGUGAGGUAACGGCUCACCAAGGCGACGAUGCGUAGCCGACCUGGGAGGGUGAUCGGCCACACUGGGACUGAGACACGGCCCAGACUCCUACGGGAGGCAGCAGUAGGGAAUCUUCCGCAAUGGACGAAAGUCUGACGGAGCAACGCCGCGUGAGCGAUGAAGGCCUUCGGGUCGUAAAGCUCUGUUGUCAGGGAAGAACAAGUACCGGAGUAACUGCCGGUACCUUGACGGUACCUGACCAGAAAGCCACGGCUAACUACGUGCCAGCCGCCGCCGUAAUAC